GUCCACGCCGUAAACGAUGAGUGCUAGGUGUUAGGCCCUUUCCGGGGCUUAGUGCCGCAGCUAACGCAUUAAGCACUCCGCCUGGGGAGUACGACCGCAAGGUUGAACUCAAAGGAAUUGACGGGGCCCGCACAAGCGGUGGAGCAUGUGGUUUAAUUUCGAAGCAACGCGAAGAACCUUACCAGGUCUUGACAUCCCGAUGCUAUUCCUAGAGAUAGGAAGUUUCUUCGGAACAUCGGUGACAGGUGGUGCAUGGUUGUCGU
rnacentral:rRNA from 1 species